rnacentral:rRNA from 1 species
ACGCUCGACACCUACGAGAGGCAGCAGUGGGGAAUAUUGCACAAUGGGGGAAACCCUGAUGCAGCGACGCCGCGUGAAGGAAGAAAUAUUUCGGUAUGUAAACUUCUAUCAGCAGGGAAGAAAAUGACGGUACCUGACUAAGAAGCCCCGGCUAACUACGUGCCAGCAGCCGCGGUAAUCUGAGGCGGGCUGGACAAGGC